GUAAAGGCGCGCGGGAACAUGGGGCUGUACGCUGCGGUGGCAGGCGUGCUGGCCGGCGUGGAGAGCCGCCAGGGCUCUAUCAAGGGGCUGGUGUACUCCAGCAACUUCCAGGUAGCGGGCCCGGGCGCCACAAGUAGGGGUGGGGGGUGAGGAACCCGGGGUGGGGUGGGACGGGCCCGGAUGGGGUCGGGAGGUGGGGCCCGGCGAGGAGGGCCGGGGGAGCCCCCGACCCAGCUUGUCUCCCUCGGCCACACAGAACGUGAAGCAGCUGUACGCGCUGGUGUGCGAAACGCAGCGCUACUCCGCCGUGCUGGAUGCCGUGAUCUCCAGCGCCGGCCUCCUCAGUGCGAAGAAGCUGCAGCCGCACCUGGCCAAGGGUAGGGGCGGGGCGGGGAAGUGAACCCCGACGGUCAGCGCUUUGUCAUCUGGUUUCAGCCCCGCUGCCGUGCACGGCGGGACUGGAGCAAGUCGCUCACCUGAAAUGAGUAUGAGCAGACCUUCCCUGGGUUACGAAUUGAGAUGGGAUGAAAAUGCUUUAACUUCGAGUGUUUUGAAGGAUUAAAUAACCGAAGUACAAAGUAGUAGUAGCGGAGACAGUAAGGAAGUCGGGCGUGGCGGCGCGCACCUGUGGUCCCAGCUACUCGGAAGGCUGAGGGGGGAGGAUCACUUGAGCCCAGGAGUUCGAAGCUGCAGUGAGCUGUGAUGUGGCCACUGCACUUCAGCCUGGGCGACAGAUCUAGACCCCAUUCUAAAAAAAAACAAAAACCCCAAACCCACACCCACGAAAGGGUAAUGUUGGCAAGAAGCUGGGUGCAGAGGUCUACUGGUGAACAUCUGUGGGGAAAGGGUCUAAGGCUGGGAAGCGAGACGCCAGGUUCCGAUCCUGUUGUGUAGUUAAUUUCUGGUGUGGUCUUGAGUAAGGUACCCCACCUUUAUCUGUAACCAUCUAGUCAGGUGAUCUCUUUAGCCAUUCCAGUGCCCGGGCUCUAUUAGAGUUAGUUCUAAGGCAUUCAUACUUCUUGCUUAGGGCGUUUCUGUCUUUGAUCCCUCAUCCCCAGGUGCUAGUGUAUGAGUUGUUGGGAAAGGGCUUUCGAGGGGGUGGGGGCCAAUGGAAGGCUCUGUUGGGACGGCACCAGGCGAGGUGUUGAGUUGGCUCGGCUCAAGGUUCUUCGGGGUGUGAGCUGGCAUGAGGACCUGUUGGAAGUGGGAUCCAGGCCUGGUCCAGCCUCCCAGCUGCCUCGAUUUGUGCGUGUGAACACUCUCAAGACCUGCUCCGUUUAUGUAGUUAUUUCAAGAGACAAGGUUUCUCCUAUCAGGGUCGGGCUUCCAGGCUGGAUGGAGUGCCCUGGCGCGAUCUCGGCUCACCGCAACCUCUGCCUCCUGGGUUCAAGCGAUUCUCCUGCUUCAGCCUUCUGAGUAGCUGGGAUUAUGAAGGGGUGGCCUGCCCCUCCACAUCUGUGGGAUAUCUCAUCAGGUGGGACAAGAGACUGAGAAAAGAAAUAAGACACAGAGACAAAGUAUAGAGAAACAACAGUGGGCCCAGGAGACUGGCACUUAGCAUACCAAGGACCUGCACCAGCACUGGUCUCCGAGUUCCCUCAGUUUUUAUUGAUUAUUAUUUUCAUUAUCUCAGCACAAGGAAUGCGGUAGGAGAGCAGGGUGAUAAUAAGGAGAAGGUCAGCAAAAAAACAUGUGAGCAAAGGAAUCUGUGUCAUAAUUAAGUUCAAAGGGAGGUACUAUGCCUGGAUGUGCACGUAGGCCAGAUUUAUGUUUCCCUCCGCCCAAACAUCUGUGGAGUAAAGCAUAACAAGGCAGCAUUGCUGCCAACAUGUCUCGCCUCCCGCCAUAGGGUGGUUUUUCUCCUAUCUCAGAAUUGAACAAAUGUACAAUCGGGUUUUAUACCGAGACAUUCAGUUCCCAGGGGCAGGCAGGAGACAGUGCCCUUCCUCUAUCUCAACUGCAAGGCUUUCCUCUUUUACUAAUCCACCUCAGCACAGACCCUUUACGGGUGUCGGGCUGGGGCACAGCCUCUCAUCCCAUGAGGCUAUAUUUCAGACUAUCACAUGGGGAGAACCUUGGACAAUACCUGGCUUUCCAGGGCAGAGGUCCCUGCAGCUUUUCACAGUACAUUGUGCCUCUGGUUUAUUGAGACUAGAGAACGGCGAAGACUUUUACCAAGCAUACUGCUUGUAAACGUUUUAUUAACAAGGCAUGUCCUGCACAGCCCUAGAUCCUUUAAACCUUGAUUCCAUACAACACAUGUUUUUGUGAGCUCAAAUUUGGGGCAAAGUCACAAAUUAACAGCAUCUCAGCCAACCAAUUGUUCAAGGUACAGGUCAAAAUGGAAUUUCUUAUGUCUUCCCUUUCUACACAGACACAGUAACAGUCUGAUCUCUCUUUCUUUUCCCUACAGGAUUGCAGGCAUGCAGCACCAUGCCUGGCUAAUUUUGUAUUUUUAGUAGAGACGGGAUUUCUCCAUGUUGGCCAGGCUGGUCUCAAACUCCUGACCUCAGGUGAUCUGCCCACCUUGGCCUCCCAAAAUGCUGGGAUUACAGGCAUGAACCACCGCGCCCGGCCAUGCUAAGUCCUUUCUUGGCUCCAUUGUGCUGUCCCUCCUGCUUCCUCUCCAGGUCCAUCUGCCACAGUGCUACGUGCACCAGCGUGCCAGCAACAGUGGCUGGUCUCUGCCCCGUGCCUCCUCCACUGGGCUCACACCUGUCUUAUUUUGUCCUUUGGUGGCUCUGAGAAGCAGCCUCUGCCCCUCUCCCUUUCCCUUACUCUUUGUAAGAUCCUCUUCCUUCUGCCCUACCAUGUUGCUUGGACACCAGGGUGGAAUAGCAGAGAACGGCUGCUUGUGUUUGAAUUCCAGCUCUGCCACUUCGAUAGAUUUCUGAACUGAGACAUGUGACUCUCUAGGCCUAUUUCUGCAUGGGUCGGAGAGUGGGCGGGACUGCUUUACUGAGUUAUAGUGAAUGUAGUUUUAACCUAAGCGCCUCACAUGACUAACUCCUCAUCCAUCAAGAAUGAGCUCAGCUCUCACUUCCCCACUCCUCACCCCCCUGUAAAGUAACCUUUCUCCAAGGUUAUGCUUCAACAGGAAUAGCUAACAUUUAUUAAAUUGUGGCACGUAAGUAUCUUGGAUAUAUUGGCUCAUUGAAUCCUCACACCUACUAUUUUACAGAGAUGCCAGUGGGGCUUGAGAUUGAAUCACUUGCCCAGGCUCCCACUGCUGGUAAACAGUAGAGGGGGCUCCUGACCCAUCAGUCUGGCUUGACAACCCAUUCCCUCAACUGCGGAUCCCGGAUUCCCUUAUCACCCUGUUGAUUUCUCCAUAGCUGUGGUAACAUUUGUUGCAUGAAUGGACCGUUGAAAUAGGGCCUGGCAGGGAGAAAUUCAGGAAAUGAAUGAAUGGUUCUUCCCUGGCAGCCUUGAUGACUUACAAGCCCUCAAGGGGAAGCAUUUUCUCCUGGACUCCUUGAUGCCGGAGCUGCUGGUGUUUCCCGCCCAGACAGAUCUGCAUGAACACCCACUGUACCGGGCCGGACACCUCAUUCUGCAGGACAGGGCCAGCUGUCUCCCAGCCAUGCUGCUGGACCCCUGCCAGGCUCCCAUGUCAUCGAUGCCUGUGCCGCCCCAGGCAAUAAGACCAGUCACUUGGCUGCUCUUCUGAAGAACCAAGGGAAGAUCUUUGCCUUUGACCUGGAUGCCAAGCGGCUGGCAUCCAUGGCCACGCUGCUGGCCUGGGUUGGCGUCUCCUGCUGUGAGCUGGCUGAGGAGGACUUCCUGGCGGUCUCCCCCUUAGAUCCGCGCUAUCGUGAGGUCCACUAUGUCCUGCUGGAUCCUUCCUGCAGUGGCUCGGGUGAGAUGGUGAGAAGGCGUGGCUGAGGGACUCGGAGGUCCACAGCAGCUUAGACCUGGAGUCAUCUGUUUUGGUCUUAGUUCUGACACUUUAAUGGGCUUGGGACCCUGGAGCAAAAGUUCUCCUCUGUGAGGCAAGGAUUUCAGGAGCGAGGAUUUCAGGACUGAGGCAGCCUGUGAAGCUGUGUAACCGAGACACGCUUUUCCUUAGGUAUGCCGAGCAGACAGCUGGAGGAUCCCGGGGCAGGGACACCUAGCCCGGUGCGUCUGCAUGCCCUGGCAGGGUUCCAGCAGCGAGCCCUGUGCCACGCGCUCACUUUCCCUUCCCUGCAGCGGCUCGUCUACUCCAUGUGCUCCCUCUGCCAGGAGGAGAAUGAAGACAUGGUACCAGAUGCGCUGCAGCAGAACCCGGGCGCCUUCAGGCUAGCUCCCGCCCUGCCUGCCCGGCCCCACCGAGGCCUGAGCACGUUCCCGGGUGCCGAGCACUGCCUCCGGGCUUCCCCCAAGACCACGCUUAGCGGUGGCUUCUUCGUUGCUGUAAUUGAACGGGUCGAGAUGCCGAUGUGAGUGAGUGGGGGCAUGCUUGGGAGGCGCAGGAUGGUACUGGCACAUCUAACAUCUACACUUCUCUAGCUCAGCCUCACAGGCCAAAGCAUCAGCACCAGAACGCACACCCAGCCCAGCCCCAAAGAGAAAGAAGAGACAGCAAAGAGCCGCAGCCGGUGCUUGCACACCGCCUUGCACAUAGCAGAGGCUCCAGGCUGACUCCUUCCUGGUGGGAAAGGAAGAUGCCUGUCCUCUCCGUGGAGGACCCUGGGCCCUCACCGCAGGCAGCAGUUUGCAUUUUGAAAGGUUAUUGGGUCCCUUCCUCGGGCUGUGUUCUUGCUGGUGAGCAAAAGUGUUGCCUGCAGAAAUAAAAUGCAGAACGUACUCU
ensembl:lncRNA NSUN5P1 NSUN5 pseudogene 1